GGUCUGAUGAGGAAGCAGGUUGAUCAGCCUGGAGCCAGCUGCAGAUGGUCAGAAAGCACAGAACCCCAACAGACACAGGUGGACUGGGGAGGUCCAGCGUGGGUCUACUCAGCCGGCCGAGGCCAAGCGCCCUUGGGAGGGACAUAGUCCUCAUCCACCUUCACUCUGGAGUGCCCUCUGUUGGCUCUCGGUGGUGGCUGUGUACACAUUAGAGCUCUGCGGUAAAUUGCUGUAACUCCUUCUGCAGGGGGGGUUCAGGUUUUGCCUGCUGCUGCUACCCCUUUCUGUUGCAAGGAGUCUUUCCAGCUGUGGAUAAGGAGUGUCACCCCCUUCGCUGGUUGGUCAGCAUCCUGCUGUCUGUGAUACGCAAGCAACAAAACACAUUUUACCAGGGAAUCCGUAGAGCGUCGUCCUGCGUAUGCGGCCCACCCCUGAAGCACAACAUGCCUUUCCACCGACACCCUUCUAGGGACGCAGUACCCACCGGCCUGACUGCCGUGGUACCACCAUCUCCAAUGACAAUGCAAGCAAGGAAGAAUGAGUGGAAUUCCUAGACACCCAAAGCUCUAAAUGCCACAGAGAGUUCAGUUAAAAGCGGUGGAGUGCGCGAUUCACUCUGAAGCAAGCCCCUGGUCUGUUCCCAUGAUUCUUUCAGGAAAAGGGAUACAAGAGUCCAGAGAUGAGUUAUGAGUCCAGCCAAGUCUGACUGAGGGAAGUCUCUUCUCUUUAGGGAAAGGGCACAGACAUUGAACAAGUCAGGGCUGGUGCUCAAGGGAGGGAAAGCAGUCCAGAGAGAUCCUGGAGGAGAGCAGACGGGGGCUAUGCCAUGGGCACAAGUGCCAACUGGACUCUGCAGCCAACAGCAAGGAACGAUGGCUUUACUGCUUGGGAGAAAGUGGCCUUGCGGAGGGGGCCUUCCAGACAGGCCCUGUGAUGAGGAGGAUGUGCGAGGCCACGUUCGCUUGAUGGGAGUCCCUCAGCAACAGCGUGUGCUUCGCGCUGGCACCACCCUCGAAUCGAAGUGGAAAUGCCUCCGGGCUGCGAGAGCUGCCCGGGAGAUCUGUUUACCAGCGGUCCACCGGCGGCCAGAAGCAGAUGACCCUCCUUCUGCUGUAUCCCCGGAAGGGCAGUGGUAGCCUAACAUUACGUCACGAUGCCUACGUCAUUCACCUCCCUGCAUCUCAUCACGUGGGCAUUUGGUCAUCUCGCAUCACGCCACGAAGAAGAGGAAGGGUGAUGGCUCUCAACUUUUGCAUGAGAGCAAGAAGCAUUCUUUUAGCCUUUCUCUCAACUACCGUGACCAUUUGAUGCUUCAAAGACACAUUGGCUUGGAUGCUACCUGCUGGUCUCGCCACAUCUAGACCCACCUGGGGGUUCAGCUCUUGCCAAGAGGAGCCAAAGGAUGCAAAAUUUGGCUGCCCUCUUGGCAUCUGGAAUGCUACCUUCCUGAUGGAAACUGGAGUCCUAACUACUCUUCGGGGAGCAGCAUCCCUUCUAAGGGCUCUGGAGUGUGUUGACAUGGAAGGGUCCCCACUAGUCUAUAUGGUGCCUUUGUGAAAGGUAGAAAAGAGCCCCCUGAAGAUGGCCAGAUUAGCAAAAGGAUUCCUCCAAGCUGGGGGCACUCAGCUCGACAAGCAGAAACGAGACUGGAUUCCAGCUUUUAUUUGUGUCCUUUAGCUGGAGGCCAAAGUGUGUAACCACAUAUGAUAGUUCAGAACAGUGAGGUCCCUGUUAUUGGGGGCGUGGUAGGGUGACUACCUGCUAGGAAUGUGAUGGAGUGGUUUCUGGCAUUGCAUGAGAACUCGGUCUGGGUGAUGGGCAUUCAGAGGUUUUACCUAAUGGCUGAUAAACUGAGUGUUGAUCUGGUGUAAAGAUGAAGAGGCCGGGAUGAGAACUUGGGCUUCUGAUUCUCAGAGCGUGUCUCAUUAGUCUUGCUGGGUUGUCUUCUACAGCUCCCUAUGGAAAGAUUUUCACUUGAAAGUGAGUAAGCUUCCCUCACACAUGCCUAUUCAAGUGUGAUUUUUAAAAGAUGAGUGAACUUGGGAGUGAAUGAAUAACUAUCAGAAACAAUAGCGCAUGGAGAUAAGGGGCCUAAGGGACAAACAGCAAGAGGUGUAUAAGAGACUUUAAGGCGUUAGAGAUUCCUCUACAUUUCUAAGACUUAAGAGUGGAAGUAUGGGAGUCAAAGCAGAACACAGGUGUUUCUAUACCUUCCCACAGAGACUCAUAGACACUUAAAAAAAAAAACAAAACACCAUUUUUUGGCUUUCACG